rnacentral:tRNA from 1 species
CCAUAGCUCAGCUGGAUAGAGUACUCGGUUACGAACCGAGUGGUCGGAAGUUCGAGCCGAGCGUA